rnacentral:rRNA from 1 species
UACGUAGGUGGCGAGCGUUGUCCGGAUUUACUGGGCGUAAAGAGCGCGCAGGCGGUCGUGCAAGUCGCGUGUGAAAGCCCCCGGCUCAACUGGGGAGGGUCACGCGAUACUGUUCGACUCGAAGGCAGGAGAGGGAAGCGGAAUUCCCGGUGUAGCGGUGAAAUGCGUAGAGAUCGGGAGGAACAUCAGUGGCGAAGGCGGCCAUCUGGGACAACACUGACGCUGAAGCACGAAAGCGUGGGGAGCAAACAGG